GGCACUAUUUUCCAGAGAUCUUCAACUAUAGAACUCCUUUUCCUACAGAGUAUCCUGAGGAGCUAAUGUCUAGGAAAUGCACUCUGGUGUUGCUGUGUCUUGGCACUGGACAUCUCUAGGGUUUUUUUUUUUUUUUUCCAAUCUCAUUACAGAAGCCCAUUAGUAACUUGGCAUGUGUAUGAGACUACUGCUGUAAGGGGACAUUUCAUAUAUUACUGUGUCUCUUGGGGCUAGAAGCACCUACAGUAUCUCUCAGAAUGCCGAUUGUAUAAUUGGCACUCCAUUGACACUGGAUUUUUGGAAUGAGUGGGCAGAUGGAAGCAUUUUGUUAGCUGAAGCAAGUUUCGUAUAAAGGUAUGUAAAUAUUACUUGUUCUCGAGAUUCUUUCAACUAGCUGGGGAUUCAAGGAAGUAGACAGAAAAACAGGCAUUUAAGGAAGAAGGAACUGAAUGUGGAAGAGAAGGAAGUGCAAAUGCUUAGGAAGUACAUAGGCUCAGCUUGUGGCCCCAAAUGCUCUGAGUUUAGUGCUCUUGUAGGGUAGAUUGGAGACUAAACCUGGAAGAGUGACUUGACUUCUCAUUUUAGAGAUAUUUUAACCUAGACUACAUUUAUACUUCAAUGGUUAGAAAAUAUGAGGAUCUUAGAAAUGUUUUGAUUGGAGAAAUGACAUGGCAUUAGGUAGCUAAUUGGAUGAGUGUUCACCAAGUGAACUGUACACCUGAGAAAGGGAAGCUGCCAGAAGUGUUACAGACCAGACACAAACCAGGCCAUUUGGCUACAGUCUAUGCUAUGUUUCUCAAAUUAGUAUUUUUAUUUUCUGAAUUCUUAGGCUAGCUUUCCAUUGUUUACUGGCAACUCUACAACACUUUUUUUCUUAGCUUAUCCUAGCUAAUGCUCUCUUAAAUCCAUAUCAUAAUAUCUUUCCUCUCUUUCUUAGGUAGGAUAUUUAGCUAAAGGGACCUUAUUAAAAUAUCUUUUUAGUUAAGAUCAUGCAUGCAUGGGUGUGUGUGUGUGUGUGUGUGUGUGUGUGUGGCAUUGACUGCGAUUGCUGUUCAUCCUGGAUAUCAUUAGAAACUCUGAAUAGAUGUAGGUCAUAAUUGGAAAAGAAAAAAGUAUGUAUGAUUGCCCUUAAGAUAAUUUAUCUUUUUCGUAUUUAUUAUAGUCAGAUUUGACAAAGUCUUUUGGAACAUGAGCUGUUUUCCAGGUAUUUUCAUUUACUAGUGAUAAUGAACUUUUGUAGUGUAUAAUAGUCAUUUUGCUAACAGAUUACAGAUAGUAUGUAACUUCAUAAUUGCAAUACUGUGGCUUAUAUAUUGUCUUACUUCUUUCUUAGAAGAAUAAAUUGAGGUAUAGAGACAUUAAAUAUUUUCCUAUAUGUCAGGCAGCUAAUAAGUGAUAAAGUAAGUAAUGAAAUUGGUUUGGUUUCAAAUAAUACUACUUUGUCACCAAUUAAUAUAAUUGAAUCCUUGUAGAAAUAGCUUUAUGCAGUCUAUUAUUAUUCCCAUUUAUUUUUAGGUUAGAGAAUAGACUCAUCUGGGUAGAAAAAAAGGCUAAAGUCAGAUUAAAACAAAGGAUUUCAAGCUCCACAUUCCAUGACCUACAUGUUGUAUUAACUUUCUCAACUUUAGGACUAAGAAACAAAGUAAAAUAAAUAAUUUGGAGCCCCAAGAUGCCUAUUAAUCAGUGACUUCUCUAAAAUAUUACUUUUUGUUUGUUUGUUUCAAUUAUUCAUACCCCAGCUUUGUUUCCAUUAAUUAUAGUCUCAAACUCAGUGGUUUAUGGUGUUAAAUUUAUUAACGAAUACAUAUUUUUAGUAAAUUUAAUUUCUAUUGUUGUCUAGCACUGGGACCUUAGAGCUCCAUAUUCUUCCCUAGAGCUUUAUUUAAUGUUGCCUCUAGUCAUCUACUGGAAAUGGUAUGUAUGACCUUAGGCAUCUUCAUGGUAGAUUUUCCUGCCACUUUCUUCUGUCUAUUCUAUGCAGCUGCCUAAUGAGUCAUUUCAAUGUCUACUUCAUGUUUCCCAGCUGCAUUUCAUUUAGUUACCCAAUAUAUUGCACAUGCAUGAAGAAACACUUAUAAGGUUCGUGUUCAAGAAUGCUUAGAUUAGUGGGUGGCUUAGAGAGGGGGAGGAGGAUGACAGAAAGAAAUUAAUGGAUUCCCCACAGAAAGGUAAUACUUUAAAAUGCACAAUAAAGAAUUUCUUGUAACCCAGAUCACCCCAUCGACAUACAUAAUACAGUUUGAACAUACACCUAUGUUAACUUUUGAAACAACUCUUAAUUUAUUAAGGUGAAAGAGCUUGUUAGCAUUUGCUUCAGCAUGCACAGGAGAGGUAAAUGAUUGGUUUAAAAAUGUUUGAUGAUGCAGGGUUAAUUGUUGGGCCUUAGGGACUUAGGAUUCUUCAGAAUUAUGUUUUAAAAUCUAUAAUACAAGCUUUAAAGCACCACCUGCAAAAUGAAAAAGUAUUCUGGUGCUUGAAAUAUAUUGAUAUGAGCUAAAGUGAAGCUCAUAAAUUUUGUUCUGUUUCUCUUCUGAACAAACACAGCUUAGGAUUGUAUAAUGCGUGCCUGGGGUGGUCUUGGUCAUUGUGCUGUCAGAAAGCAGUGUGCUGUGUUCUUCCAGAAAUAUAGAUGUGAUACAUCAUAUGCUGGGAAUAGUGGUUUUUUUUCAUGAUUUUUCAGUUUUAUUCUCCCUUCCUUUGGGUACAGUUUUACCUUAGUAUAGAAUAAGCAAAGUAUUACUAAUAAACAGUGAAAGGGCUGACCUACAAAACCAUCUUCAAGGGUUAAACAGAUACUUGGCACUAAUCAUAUGUUAGAUCUAAAUGAAAGUAGUGAAUAUUAGAUAGCAUUCCUCUUAGAAGUUUAAAAUGAUAUCCCCAAAUCUGGUUUUGUCCAAUGGAUGUUUGGCCCACACAUUGUUUUUUAACAAUUUAAUUAGUUUCCAACAUUCAAAAUUGGAAGGUUUUACCUAAAAUAUCAGAGUUCUGGCUUCUCUUAAAAAAUAUGAAGGUCUGGCAAUAUUGAGAAGACCUUCCCGCAUGACCAUAGUUGAUGAGAACUGCAGAAAAUACCCACUACACACAUUUGCUAGAAUCUAAAUUCCAUGAAGACUCAUGAAGAAGGAACUGUUCCAUGAAGAACUGAAGUCCUAUGAAGUACCAUGAAGGACUGGUUUGUGGGUUGAAAUAAUCUGAAUACAUGGAAGAGUGUCUGGCUAUAAUAUGUUUAAUACAUUAUCACACAAAUCAGUCUUUAAUCUCUUACUAAACAUUUGUUGAGCAACAGAGUAUAGGUUCACCAGGAUGAUACCCACGAAUCAUUACUGUAUUGUACUGAAAACACCUUUUCAUUUAUGUUAUCUCUUUGGGCCCCUUCUCAGGUAUUUACAUUUUUUGUUGCUUUUUAAAAAUUGUAGUAAAAUAUACAAAACAUAAACAUUACCAUAUUAAGCAUUUUUAAAUGUACAGUUCAGUGGCUUUAAAUAUAUUCACAUUAUUGUACAAUCAUCACCAGGACUUUUCCAUCUCCAGAACUUUUUUCAUCUUCCAUAUAUAGAAUAUGGUUCGUAUAAGGAAUAUCUUUCUAAAAAGACUUAUCUAAGUCAUUGUAGAAAUUUUUAUUUUGGGAUCCUGGAUGGCUCAUUGGUUGAGCAUUUGCCUUCAGCUCAGUUCAUGAUCCUGCGGUCCUGGGAUCAAGUCCUGCAUUAGGCUCCUCCCAGGGAGUCUGCUUCUCUCUCUGCCUAUGUCUCUGCCUCUCUCUCUCUCUCUGUCUCUCAUGAAUAAAUAAAUAAAACCGUAAAAAAAAGGAAAUUUUUAUUUCAUUUUUAAUAGUUUUGGGGAAAGAAGGUUGGCUACUCUGGUGAACAUUUAAGCAUUACUGUAGCAACUAUACAUGGAAGAUUCUUUUGUUUUGUUCAAUUAUGUUUAUAGAGAUUUGUUAACCUAAUGUUUUCAUUUAUAGUGAGAUUUUAUCUUCAGAAAAGUAAUUUUUUUCUUGCCCAACCUUUGUCUUUAGAUUGAUGUUCUCACAUAACAAUCCAGGAAUGCAGAUAUUAUUUGCUAAUUUUAAGAAACUCUGGUUUGAUGCGAUUAGGUGAUUGCUGGAAUAUCAGCCCAGGUUUUCUGUUUAGCUCAGUGUACUUUCACUGCACCAGGAAUUCCUGAUUAUAGAAAUUUUUCAAAAUGGUUCAAAACCUGUAAUUUUAAAAGAUUUUGGGGAAAUAUAUAUAUUGCAUAUUUAUUUGUUCUUGAUAUUGAAAGACCUCUGAAAUUCUUUCAACAGCUUAGCCCAGUCCUGGAGAUGAUGCAAACAUUUUGCCAUGGCAAUUCUUUGGAUUUGUGUUCACUAGCCUAUGUAAGACAACUGCUUGGUAAUGGUGGAAGAAGUUUAUAAAUCUUGUUGAAAAGCAAACAUCGAGAUCACAAACAAUAUAGAUAUUUAUUAAGGACCCACACUUGUAAAGCCAAGGUUUCCUUAAAAAAAAAAAAAA
rnacentral:lncRNA from 1 species